ACCGUCCCGCAGACUUGCCCUAGCUACUCCCGAGCCCCCUCUUUCUCCUCCUCUCCGGUGCUAAAGCCACCGAACCCAGCGGCCUUCGUCUUCCUCCUCUCGGCGUUUCCCUUCCUCUAGGAUUCACAAGCAGCGAUCUCAAACCCUUAACCCCCUUCUUUCUCUCUCCCCUCUUUCCCCGAUCCCUUUUUGUCAUGGCUCUCGUACAGCCAUCGCCGCCGCAGAUGGAGGUAGCGGCGCGACCGAAUCCCGUUGUGCGAUUUGGUGCACCCCUUGCCGGUUUGCCAAGGGCAAGGCCACUUUCUUGGGGGGCAGCAGGGUGGACACCCCUACUCCGGGCUUGGACUCGGAGGUUUUUGAGCACUCUCUUUUUCAAGUACGAGGCUUUUUCCGGCCCUAAUUUUCAAAGUGAAAGAAAGGCACUUCGUAAAGUCAUGUUCAUUGCAGGUUUCCACUGCAUGCAUGUUUGCAUGAAAUUACAGAAAAAUUGGAAAAAGGCGACCCUUUUUUGCCGACGCUAUCCACAAGCGUCGGGAAAAAAUACCCCCGUCGUCACAUAUCCUCACGCUUCAAAGAAGCGUCGGUGGCUACAUGUGUAUAAAGCAUUUAUGUUGUCCCACCUACACAUGUGAAAAUUUAUGUGUAUAAAUUGGAUAUAUAUACAUGUGUAUGCAUGCAUUUAUGUUCAUAACUCACAUGGAUGCUCUCAGAUAAGCAUAUAGAGGUGCCAUGGAUCAGGAAAUCACCAUAUAUUGAAAGGUAUGCUUAACUGUUCAUGUUGAUAUGAUUUUGUCUUGUACAACUCUAUUCAGAUGAAAAUUGAGAUUGCUCAAAAAUUCAGCCGGUGUCCAUCUAAUUGUAUAUAAUCAUUCCUUUUGUUCUCCCAAAGUUUAUUCUGCUUAUUAGGUUUAUCCCAAGUUUAGAAGCACAUAUAAAUGUAUCUAAUAUCAUCUAUCAUGGAAGAAGCCAAUGGUAUAUAAUUAUGUUUGGAUGAAUUUACUUGGUGUUAAUUGUCUCUAUCUGUAUUAGUUCCUUUUUGACAGCCAAUCCUUCCCAUUAGGAAACAAGAUGGAAAUCUUGAACUCUUGAUUGAAUCUUGGGUGAAAAUAUUUUGAAUUUUAAUCUCGUUUAUAAUUUAGAUAGUCUGCUAAUUAAUUAUUUAGUUGUGGAUUCUGUUGAAUAGAAGCUACUGCUGACUUGUUAUUCUUCUGCUCAGAUUGGUAGAUGAGCUUGUUCUUUUGUGCAAAGAAUCUGCAGUAAGAAAGAGCCGUGAAGUUAUCCGCAAUCACAUUUUACAAUUACUGUUGUUGAUUCAGAAAUGAUAAGGCUCUAAAGAUCAAUAUAACUGAAAGAAGUACAAGGAAUGCAACUUCAAUGAAAGCAGAUACAGAUAUGAUGCUCCAUUUCAAGGGAUAGCUAUAAAUUUGUUUUUUCAUCUCAAGCUCGACAAGUAUUUUUUGUGCAAGACUCAAAAGAUAAAAAUUGGUCUCUUGUUAUUAAGACGAAACCUAGGGACUUGUAUGAUAUGGGAAAAAGGUUGCAAGAGGAGGACGAUGAUACUUAUACUCAGUGUUUGCCUUAUAAUAUUGUGCCAACUGAUGAAGUAAAUGCGCCAAGGAGUUUGAUUAGGAUGGAUGUUGAAUGAGAAUGUAGUUUCAUAAUGGUAACAAUAUGCCUCGAGGGAGACGAUUUAGAGAUGUGGAGUUCCAGCAUUCUCAAGUGGGAUCUACUUCUG